rnacentral:rRNA from 1 species
GAUGAACGCUGGCGGUAUGCUUUACACAUGCAAGUCGUACGAGAGUUUUUAACUCAAGUGGCGGACGGGUGAGUAACACGUAAGAAUUUGCCUUUAGGAGGGGGACAACAACUGGAAACGGUUGCUAAUACCCCAUAUGCUUUCGAGUGAAAUGGAUUUUUCCGCCUAAAGAGAAGCUUGCGGCUGAUUAGCUUGUUGGUGAGGUAAUGGCUCACCAAGGCGACGAUCAGUAUCUGGUUUGAGAGGACGAUCAGACACACUGGAACUGAGACACGGUCCAGACUCCUACGGGAGGCAGCAGUGGGGAAUUUUCCGCAAUGGGCGAAAGCCUGACGGAGCAAUACCGCGUGAGGGAUGACGGCCUAUGGGUUGUAAACCUCUUUUCAGGGAGGAAUAAAAUGACGUGUACCUGAAGAAUAAGCAUCGGCUAAACUCCGUGCCAGCCGCCGCGGUAAU